rnacentral:rRNA from 1 species
UGCGUAGGCGGAAAAUUAAGUCAGUGAUGAAAUCCUGCAGCUUAACUGUAGAACUGUUAUUGAUACUGGUUUUCUUGAAUAUAGUUGAGGUAGGCGGAAUGUGUAAUGUAGCGGUGAAAUGCUUAGAUAUUACACAGAACACCGAUUGCGAAGGCAGCUUACUAAGCUAUGAUUGACGCUGAGGUACGAAAGCGUGGGGAGCGAACAGGAUUAGAUACCCUGGUAGUCC